CCUUAGAGUUUGAUCCUGGCUCAGGACGAACGCUGGCGGCGCGCCUAACACAUGCAAGUCGAGCGAGCGAGAGAGAGCUUGCUUUCUCGAGCGAGUGGCGAACGGGUGAGUAACGCGUGAGGAACCUGCCUCAAAGAGGGGGACAACAGUUGGAAACGACUGCUAAUACCGCAUAAGCCCACGGGUCGGCAUCGACCAGAGGGAAAAGGAGCAAUCCGCUUUGAGAUGGCCUCGCGUCCGAUUAGCUAGUUGGUGAGGUAACGGCCCACCAAGGCGACGAUCGGUAGCCGGACUGAGAGGUUGAACGGCCACAUUGGGACUGAGACACGGCCCAGACUCCUACGGGAGGCAGCAGUGGGGAAUAUUGCACAAUGGGGGAAACCCUGAUGCAGCGACGCCGCGUGGAGGAAGAAGGUCUUCGGAUUGUAAACUCCUGUUGUUGGGGAAGAUAAUGACGGUACCCAACAAGGAAGUGACGGCUAACUACGUGCCAGCAGCCGCGGUAAAACGUAGGUCACAAGCGUUGUCCGGAAUUACUGGGUGUAAAGGGAGCGCAGGCGGGAAGACAAGUUGGAAGUGAAAUCUAUGGGCUCAACCCAUAAACUGCUUUCAAAACUGUUUUUCUUGAGUAGUGCAGAGGUAGGCGGAAUUCCCGGUGUAGCGGUGGAAUGCGUAGAUAUCGGGAGGAACACCAGUGGCGAAGGCGGCCUACUGGGCACCAACUGACGCUGAGGCUCGAAAGUGUGGGUAGCAAACAGGAUUAGAUACCCUGGUAGUCCACACCGUAAACGAUGAUUACUAGGUGUUGGAGGAUUGACCCCUUCAGUGCCGCAGUUAACACAAUAAGUAAUCCACCUGGGGAGUACGACCGCAAGGU
rnacentral:rRNA from 1 species